rnacentral:rRNA from 1 species
UACGUAGGGUGCAAGCGUUGUCCGGAAUUAUUGGGCGUAAAGCGCGCGCAGGCGGCUUGGCGCGCCCGACGUGAAAGCCCCCGGCUUAACCGGGGAGGGUCGUCGGGUACGGCCAGGCUUGAGGGCGGGAGAGGGUGGUGGAAUUCCCGGUGUAGUGGUGAAAUGCGUAGAGAUCGGGAGGAACACCUGUGGCGAAGGCGGCCACCUGGGCCGACCCUGACGCUGAGGCGCGAAGGCGUGGGGAGCGAACGGG